CGCUGGCGGCAGGCUUAACACAUGCAAGUCGAACGCCCCGCAAGGGGAGUGGCAGACGGGUGAGUAACACGUGGGAACAUGCCCAAAGGUACGGAAUAUUCUCGGGAAACUGGGAGCAAUACCGUAUGUGCCCGAAAGGGGAAAGAUUUAUCGCCUUUGGAUUGGCCCGCGUUGGAUUAGGUUGUUGGUGAGGUAAAGGCUCACCAAGCCGACGAUCUGUAGCUGGUCUGAGAGGACGACCAGCCACACUGGGACUGAGACACGGCCCAGACUCCUACGGGAGGCAGCAGUGGGGAAUUUUGGACAAUGGGCGCAAGCCUGAUCCAGCAAUGCCGCGUGCAGGACGAAGGCCUUCGGGUUGUAAACUGCUUUUGUACGGAACGAAAAGCCUUCUUCCUAAUACAGGAGGGUCAUGACGGUACCGUAAGAAUAAGCACCGGCUAACUACGUG
rnacentral:rRNA from 1 species